UACUCCUACGGGAGGCAGCAGUGGGGAAUAUUGCACAAUGGGGGAAACCCUGAUGCAGCCAUGCCGCGUGUGUGAAGAAGGCCUUCGGGUUGUAAAGCACUUUCAGCGAGGAGGAAAGGGAGUAACUAAUAUCUGGUGGCUGUGACGUUACUCGCAGAAGAAGCACCGGCUAACUCCGUGCCAGCAGCCGCGGUAAUU
rnacentral:rRNA from 1 species